rnacentral:rRNA from 1 species
UACGGGGGGGGCAAGCGUUGUUCGGAAUUACUGGGCGUAAAGGGCUCGUAGGCGGCCAACUAAGUCGGAUGUGAAAUCCCCAAGCUUAACUUGGGAACUGCAUCCGAUACUGGAUGGCUUGAAUCCGGGAGAGGGGUGCAGAAUUCCAGGUGUAGCGGUGAAAUGCGUAGAUAUCUGGAGGAAUACCGGUGGCGAAGGCGGCAUCCUGGACCGGCAUUGACGCUGAGGAGCGAAAGCUAGGGGAGCAAACGGG